AUAUCGUUCCCUCGCGCCUGCAAAAUCAGGCGUCGGGAUUGGCAUCCUGAAUA
rnacentral:ncRNA from 1 species